rnacentral:tRNA from 1 species
GACUUGACUUUCAAAAUCGUGAGG